UACGUAGGGGGCUAGCGUUGUCCGGAAUCAUUGGGCGUAAAGAGCGCGUAGGCGGCUAGAUAAGUCCGGUGUGAAAGUCACAGGCUCAACCUGUGAAUGCCGCUGGAAACUGUCUGGCUAGAGUCCGGAAGGGGCGAGUGGAAUUCCUGGUGUAGCGGUGAAAUGCGCAGAUAUCAGGAGGAACACCGGUGGCGAAGGCGGGUCUCUGGGCCGAAACUGACGCUGAGGAGCGAAAGCGUGGGGAGCAAACAGG
rnacentral:rRNA from 1 species